rnacentral:rRNA from 1 species
UACGUAGGGGGCAAGCGUUGUCCGGAAUUAUUGGGCGUAAAGAGCUCGUAGGCGGUCUGUCGCGUCGGAUGUGAAAACCCGGGGCUUAACCCCGGGCCUGCAUUCGAUACGGGCAGACUCGAGUGUGGUAGGGGAGACUGGAACUCCUGGUGUAGCGGUGAAAUGCGCAGAUAUCAGGAAGAACACCGGUGGCGAAGGCGGGUCUCUGGGCCACUACUGACGCUGAGGAGCGAAAGCGUGGGGAGCGAACAGG